GGACGACAGAGGAUGAGAGGGUUGGAUGGCAUCACCGACUCGAUGGACGAGAUUAGUGUUGCUUAUCUGCCGGGCUUAUCUCUAUUGUUGCAGCAGUUUCGGAAACCCCCUCCCAGCCCCCAGGAGCUUCUGUUCCUGGAAAAAUUUUUUAAAUAAAAGUUUGUGCGUCUUGUCCAAGGAUUAGGACAUGAGUCUGAGCGAGCUCCGGGAGCUGGUGAUGGACAGGGAGGCCUGGCGUGCUGCAGUCCUCGGGGUCGCGGAGAGUCUGGCACGGCUGAGCGACGGGGACUGUGUCUCUCUCUCUCAAGGAUGCGGAGAAGAGAUAAGUGCUCAUUGUUCUUGCACUUUCGUGCUCAGCUCCGCUGUGCGCUUGCAGGUUUAGGGUUAGGGGACUUCUGACGACGCCCAGGCUCACUCCAGAGACACCCCCCUCCCACUCGCCCCAGCUUCCCACCUCUCACCCCAGAGACCCUCUAUUCACCCCGGACUGUCUACACUCACCCCCAGAGACCCCCACUCUCUUCAGAUAUCUAUCUCUGAUCCCAGAGACCCUCGGGCUCACCCCCACACUUCCACCAAUCACCUCAGACAUCCCCGUUCACCCCAGAUUUCCAUCUCACCCUAGAGAUCCUCACUCACCCCAGCUUUCCACCACUCCCCCUAAAGAGCCCCCAUUCACCCCACAUUGGUAUCCAUCACCCUGGGAGUAACCCCACUCACUCCAGAUUCCUUUUGGUGGUUUAGUUGCUAGGUCGUGUCCGACUCCGUGUGACCCCAUGGGCUGUAGCCCGCCAGGCUCCUCUGUCCCCGGGAUUCUCCAGGCGAGAAUCCUGGAGUGGGUAGACAUGCCCUCCUCCAGUCCUUCACCCAGACACCCUGCACCGACUCCAAAUGUCCAUCAUUCAUUGCAGAGACCCAGCCCCUCCCCGUUCGCCCUAACUUUCCAUCCAUCACCCCAGAGACUCCCCUCCGCCACCCCAAAUUUCCAUCCCUCAUCCCUCAGGACCCUUACAAUCAUUCCAGAUUUUUCCCCACUCUGCCCAAAGACUUCCGCAAGACCAUCCCCGAUUUCCUCCAACCACCCCAGAGACCCCAGAAUCACCCCCCCCGAUUUUUGCACCCCUCAGACACAGUCCCCGAGACUCACUGAGGAGUCCCAGGACAGGGUCCCUCCCGGGGAGGGGGUCUGUGUCAGCAACUCAGCGUCUGCUGGAGCAACCUGCCUGUCUCAGGGCUUCCUUAAACACCCCCGGGGUUUGCAGAGGAGCCUGGCGGGCUGCCGUCCAGGGGACACAAGGAGUCGGAUAGGACUGAGCGAGUAACCACACACACACACAGGUCAGAGAGGGCCUGCAUGAUGGAAUCUCUUGAUCCGUAGGUGAAUUCGGCCGCCUUUCCAAGGGCUUUGUUGCUAUUUCAUAGCUAAGUCGUGUCUGACUCUUGUGCGACCCCAUGGACUGUAGACCACCAGGCUCUUCUGUCCAUGGGAUUCUCCAGGCAAGAACACUGGAGUGGGAAUACCCACUGGAGUGGGUUGCCAUGCCCUCCUCCAGGGCAUCUUCCCGACCCAGGAAUCGAGCCCGACUUUCUUGCAUUGCAGGCAGAUUCUUCACCGUCUGAGUCACCUGUUUCAGGUACUUCACUCUGGUGAAUAACCAAGGCAUUUAGCGCUUCAUUUCUGCUUAACCAUCCUCUGCAGGGAGCUUGAGAGGGGCUGUCAGCUCACUAGCCCUGCAGAGUCCCAGGACCAAGCCAGACGG